GAUGAACGCUGGCGGCGUGCCUAAUACAUGCAAGUCGAGCGAACAGACGAGGAGCUUGCUCCUCUGACGUUAGCGGCGGACGGGUGAGUAACACGUGGAUAACCUACCUAUAAGACUGGGAUAACUUCGGGAAACCGGAGCUAAUACCGGAUAAUAUAUUGAACCGCAUGGUUCAAUAGUGAAAGACGGUUUUGCUGUCACUUAUAGAUGGAUCCGCGCCGCAUUAGCUAGUUGGUAAGGUAACGGCUUACCAAGGCAACGAUGCGUAGCCGACCUGAGAGAGUGGUCGGCGACACUGGAGGUGAGACACGGUCCAUACUCCUACGGGAGGCAGCAGUAGGGUAUCUUCCGCAAUGGGCGAAAGCCUGACGGAGCAACGCCGCGUGAGUGAUGAAGGUCUUCGGAUCGUAAAACUCUGUUAUUAGGGAAGAACAAAUGUGUAAGUAACUAUGGACGUCUUGACGGUACCUGAUCAGAAAGCCACGGCUAACUACGUG
rnacentral:rRNA from 1 species